rnacentral:rRNA from 1 species
UACGAAGGGGGCUAGCGUUGUUCGGAUUUACUGGGCGUAAAGCGCACGUAGGCGGCUUUUUAAGUCAGGGGUGAAAUCCUGGAGCUCAACUCCAGAACUGCCUUUGAUACUGAGAAGCUUGAGUCCGGGAGAGGUGAGUGGAACUGCGAGUGUAGAGGUGAAAUUCGUAGAUAUUCGCAAGAACACCAGUGGCGAAGGCGGCUCACUGGCCCGGUACUGACGCUGAGGUGCGAAAGCGUGGGGAGCAAACAGG